UGGGGAAUUUUGGACAAUGGGCGAAAGCCUGAUCCAGCAAUGCCGCGUGUGUGAAGAAGGCCUUCGGGUUGUAAAGCACUUUUGUCCGGAAAGAAAUCCUUGGCUCUAAUACAGUCGGGGGAUGACGGUACCGGAAGAAUAAGCACCGGCUAACUACGUGCCAGCAGCCGCGGUAAUACGUAGGGUGCAAGCGUUAAUCGGAAUUACUGGGCGUAAAGCGUGCGCAGGUGGUUUGCUAAGACCGAUGUGAAAUCCCCGGGCUCAACCUGGGAACUGCAUUGGUGACUGGCAGGCUAGAGUAUGGCAGAGGGGGGUAGAAUUCCACGUGUAGCAGUGAAAUGCGUAGAGAUGUGGAGGAAUACCGAUGGCGAAGGCAGCCCCCUGGGCCAAUACUGACGCUCAUGCACGAAAGCGUGGGGAGCAAACAGGAUUAGAUACCCUGGUAGUCCACGCCCUAAAACGAUGUCAACUAGUUGUUGGGGAUUCAUUUCUUAGUAACGUAGCUAACGCGUGAAGUUGACCGCCUGGGGAGUACGGUCGCAAGAUUAAAACUUAAAUGAAUUGACGGGGUCAUAGCUGUUUCCU
rnacentral:rRNA from 1 species